rnacentral:rRNA from 1 species
UACGUAGGGUGCGAGCGUUAAUCGGAAUUAUUGGGCGUAAAGCGCGCGCAGGCGGUUUCUUAAGUCUGAUGUGAAAGCCCACGGCUCAACCGUGGAGGGUCAUUGGAAACUGGGGAACUUGAGUGCAGAAGAGAAAAGCGGAAUUCCACGUGUAGCAGUGAAAUGCGUAGAGAUGCGGAGGAACACCGAUGGCGAAGGCAGCCCCCUGGGCUGACACUGACGCUCAGGCACGAAAGCGUGGGGAGCAAACAGG